CAGGACUCAACCAUGGACAAGACCCAGAAUCUGCCUGCUCAGGGGUUUGGACUUUGUCCUAAGAGAUGACUUUGGAGGACUCUCACGGGCAUUAGAACACUAUUUAAGGACAGAUUUUCCGGUAAAGCAAAGGAACGUGUGAGAUGUUGGCCAUGUGAAAUUGUGGGGAGAGGGGAGAUGUUAUGUACAGAACAAAAACAUCCCAUAUUGUUGUUUGCAACAGUACUGCCGAA
rnacentral:lncRNA from 1 species